rfam:Aedes aegypti strain Liverpool supercont1.161 genomic scaffold, whole genome shotgun sequence.
CAAACGGCCAGCUUUUCAGGGCCACCGAAUUUUUCAAAAAGAGUUAUU